UACGUAGGGGCGAGCGUUAUCCGGAAUUAUUGGGCGUAAAGGGUUCGCAGGCGGCCUUGUAAGUCAGAUGUGAAAGACAGCGGCUUAACCGUUGUAAGCAUUUGAAACUGCAGGGCUUGAGUACAGGAGAGGAAAGCGGAAUUCCUAGUGUAGCGGUGAAAUGCGUAGAUAUUAGGAGGAACACCAGUGGCGAAGGCGGCUUUCUGGACUGAUACUGACGCUGAGGAACGAAAGCGUGGGGAGCAAACAGGAUUAGAUACCCGGGUAGUCCCUGA
rnacentral:rRNA from 1 species